rnacentral:rRNA from 1 species
AUUGAACGCUGGCGGAAUGCUUUACACAUGCAAGUCGAACGGUAGAGGGGGCAACCCCUCGAGAGUGGCGAACGGGUGAGUAAUAUAUCGGAACGUGCCCAGUCGUGGGGGAUAACGUAGCGAAAGUUACGCUAAUACCGCAUACGAUCUAAGGAUGAAAGCGGGGGAUCGCAAGACCUCGCGCGAUUGGAGCGGCCGAUAUCAGAUUAGGUAGUUGGUGGGGUAAAGGCUCACCAAGCCAACGAUCUGUAGCUGGUCUGUGAGGACGACCAGCCUCACUGGAACUGAGACACGGUCCAGACUCCUACGGGAGGCAGCAGUGGGGAAUUUUGGACAAUGGACGCAAGUCUGAUCCAGCCAUUCCGCGUGCAGGAUGAAGGCCCUCGGGUUGUAAACUGCUUUUGUACGGAACGAAAAGGUCUCUCUUAAUACGGGGGGCUCAUGACGGUACCGUAAGAAUAAGCACCGGCUAACUACGUGCCAGCCGCCGCGGUAA